CCCUUAGAUGUUCUGGGCCGCACGCGUGCUACACUGAUGCAUUCAACGAGUCUAAAACCUGGUCUGAUAGGGCUGGGUAAUCUUUUGAAAGUGGAUCGUGAUUGGGAUAGAUGAUUGCAAUUCUUCAUCUUCAACGAGGAAUGCCUAGUAAACGCAAGUCAUCAGCUUGCAUUGAUUACGUCCCUGCCCUUUGUACACACCGCCCGUCGCUCCUACCGAUUGAAUGAUCCGAUGAAUACCAUGGAUUGAGAGUACGAAUAGGUUCGCUUAUUUCUGCUGCUCGAGAAGUGGAGUAAAUCUUAUCAUUUAGAGGAAGGAGAAGUCGUAACA
rnacentral:rRNA from 1 species